AACGAACGCUGGCGGCAGGCUUAACACAUGCAAGUCGAACGGUUGUAGCAAUACAGCAGUGGCAGACGGGUGAGUAACACGUGGGAACCUUCCUAGGGGUACGGAACAACUCAGGGAAACUUGAGCUAAUACCGUAUACGUCCGUGAGGAGAAAGAUUUAUCGCCCUUAGACGGGCCCGCGUCGGAUUAGGUAGUUGGUGGGGUAACGGCCCACCAAGCCUACGAUCCGUAGCUGAUCUGAGAGGAUGAUCAGCCACACUGGGACUGAGACACGGCCCAGACUCAUACGGGAGGCAGCAGUGGGGAAUCUUGGACAAUGGGCGCAAGCCUGAUCCAGCCAUGCCGCGUGAGUGAAGAAGGCCUUAGGGUUGUAAAGCUCUUUUGCCAGGGACUUUAAUGACGGUACCUGGAGAAUAAGCCCCGGCUAACUUCGUGCCAGCAGCCGCCGUAACAC
rnacentral:rRNA from 1 species